UACAGAGGGUGCAAGCGUUGUUCGGAAUUAUUGGGCGUAAAGGGAGUGUAGGCGGCUAGGAAAGUCUUCUGUGAAAUCUACGGGCUCAGCCUGUAACGUGCAGAGGAAACUAUCUGGCUAGAGUGUCGGAGAGGAUAGGGGAAUACCCGGUGUAGAGGUGAAAUUCGUAGAGAUCGGUUGGAACACCAGUGGCGAAGGCGCCUGUCUGGCUGACAACUGACGCUGAGACUCGAAAGCAUGGGGAGCAAACAGG
rnacentral:rRNA from 1 species